rnacentral:lncRNA from 1 species
CCGAGGAGGUCGCCAAACCCUCCGACACCGGCUCUGCCCACUGUCUGCAGACCCAGCUCGGGGCGCAGUAGUCGGGGCAGCUUGCCCCUAUGGUACAGAGCCCCAGGGGCGGCCCAGGAAGCGUGCUGCCACCGCACGCCAUAUGGAGGCGCCAGGAAAAAGAAGGAAGGAGAAAAUCGAUCCCGAGCCGGAUCCAGGAGCAGGUCCCGAUCCCAGUCCUCUUCAGGCUGCAUGUAGUCGUUGGUCUGCUGGGAAUCAUAAUGGUCCAUGAUGGUGCGUGCGUGCUAGGAGCUGGAUUUCUUCCUCCACCUUCUCUCCAGGCGACGGCGGCUGCUGCCCGGGUGUGGGGAGGGUGUCGGCAGGGCUGGGCUGGGCUGGGCUGGGCCGGGCUGGGCUGGGCUGGGCUGGCGGGGCCGGGCUCGCUCCCCUGCGCCCGCUUCCGCCGCGGCUCUGUUCGCAGAGGCUGCUGCUGCCGGCGGCGGCUGGAGCUCGCGGACUGCCUUCCUGGGGCGCGCGCUCGGACCUAAUCUCCACGCACACUGCUCUCAGUGAACACUCGCGCUGCGGGAGCAGAGGCGGGCGGGGGCGGGGAGAAGGGGCAGAGCCCUCCCGAGGUUCUCCAUUGGCCAGGCCGAGUUGCCCAAACUUCCCCCCAGCGCCUCUCAUUGGGAAUUCCUGGCAUCCGUCAGGCGGGUCUCUGUGCAUAUAGGUGGACUGGGCGGCCCCCUCCGGGCG